GUUGCUGAGCUCAGCCUGGACUCCAGGGAGGAAGAGGCAUAACCCUCCUCCCCCAAUGUGUGUUUGGGGAAUGGCAACAACUGACAGCUCCCCACACCCAUGCUUGGCCAUUAUUAGCCAAAAACAGAAAAGAAUGAGGCAGAGAAGAGCAGGAGGAGAUUUAUUGAAUGAGUAAAAUACUGGAAGACAGGCCUUGGCCAGCUGUGGUAGAGAUAAUUGUGGCAUACUCUGUGGUCCUGACUUUUAUAAUCUUUCAAAGCAGGCAGUCUGACUUGCAGGCAGUGGCUGUGUCUCCCAGCACCAAACACAGUCCAGAAAGUGGUGUGACCUCAUUUGGGGAGAAGCAGGAAGAAGCUUCUUGACAACCCAGGCAAAAUAUUUAACUGAAAGGAACAAACAAGUCUCUGGACAGGCAAAUAAACAGUGGAUUAUUUUAUGGGGUUUUAAUGAUGGAAGAAAAGCCCAUUAAAUCCAGAUAUAAACAGCACACAUGGAAGCAGUUCCAGACCAUAGAAACCAAGCAAGAAAUGGCUGCAUUGGAAGGCACCUGAACCUCUGGGGAAGACACAGGGGGGAAGACACAGGAUGGAAGACCUGCUUGGCUUGGGAUCCUGACAGAGCACAAUGCAACAUUUCACCUGAUGCUUUUAAUCCAGCCUGAGGGACAAGUGAGAUAGGAGGCCACCUGAUCAGGAAGAGGAAGUUGAUGAGGCUUUCUACAAACAGCUGGAAGUAGCCUCAUGAUCACAUGCCCUGGUUAUCAUGGGAGACUUCCAUCACCUUGACAUCUACUGGGUAGGCAACACAGCUAAGCAUGCACAGUCUAGGAGUCUCCUACAAACUAUUGAUGACAACUUUUUGACAACUUGUGGAGAAUCCAAUGAGGAGAGGCAUGCUGCUGGACCUUGUCCUAACAAACCAAGAAGAACUGGUGGGAGAUGUCACGGUUGGGGGCAGCCUCAGCUGCAGCGACCAUGAGAUGGUGGAGUUCAGGAUCCUGCAUGGAGGAAGCAGGACAAUAAGUAGAACUAAAACCAUGGACUUCAGGAUGGCAAACUUUGGCCUCUUCAAGGUCCUGCUUGGAAGAAUCCCAUGGGAUAGGGCUCUAGAAGGUAGGCAGGUCCAAGAGAACUGACUAAUUGUCCUGGUUUUGCUAAAAACAAGUUUCUCUUUUAGUGAAUUUGCCUGUCAGCUAAAGCCUUCAUAUUAACUGCAUUUUCCUGGAGCACCAGACACAUGUUUUGGUAAACCUAGCAAUGGAAUGCAAACUUAUUGAUAAGCACAGAUGGACAUCUCGCGAGAGGGGCGAUGAGAAACAAGAGACCAAGAAACUGACCAACUGUGUAUAACAUCCCAUUCACGUGAAUGCUUCAUAUAAAGUGGGAGAUCACGAGGAUCUCGUCCCUUUUUUUUCCCUUUUGCCCUUUUCCCUGCUGCUUAUGGCCGACAUUAGAAGAGGACCUUGCUAGUCGUCCCUGCGAACUGAGGCCUAGUGAGAGACUGAAUCCAGCUGCGAUUGGCUGCAGAGUCUAAUCCAGGACUUUGGUUGCCGGCUCUGCAGUUGCUGAGACUUUCAAGAUUGGUUUUGUAUAUUUUGUAUUAUUUUCUCUAUUCUUAUUAGUAGCAUUAGUAAAACAUCUUUAAUUCUU